rnacentral:lncRNA from 1 species
GUAGAGUGGAUUUGGUAUCCCAGUUGAGUGGAUCUAGGGCUGAGGUGCAAGUGAGAUGUCCUUCACCUCGAGCCUGGUUUUGUGCGGUACUCCGCAGAUGAUUGACUCAAGACCGAGUCGGGUGGAUAGCUUUGUAAAGGUAGAUGAAACCUUAUGAAUGGAAUUGUGAUUGACAUGAAUCUAAGAUAGUGGAAACUUAGAAGUCAAUUGGAUGAGCUAUGAAUAGUGGAAUAAAAGUAGAAUCGGGUGAUCUACUUAGUUGAUUGCAUUGCAUAUUGAGUUGCAUAAUUCGCAUAUUGCAUAUUGUGAGGCAUGAACAUCAUAAAUGUUAGUUGCAUGAAUAUUUGAUGAAAUAUAUAUAUAUCUGUGGAUAUUUUUUGGACUAACAUAUUGUAGUGCCUCCUUCGAACCUGGUGGGUCGAGCUUUUUUCUUGGGUGGCCGUACCCACUAGGAACUAUAUUUAUAUAGUUCUCACCCCCGUGUUGUUUUGGGGGUUACAGGUUCACACGCGAGCGGCGCGGCGGCGCAAGGACAGGACGUAGCUCCGUAGAUAGCGUCCUACUAUCGAGACCAGAGAUAGCGGUACCCCGAAGUGGUCUAGCUAGGGGUUGUAGCGAAAGAAAGAAAACAAUGUUGUAAGAAAUUGUAAUAAUUGAUUGUAUUUGGAAGUUGAUUAUAAGAGAACAUGCGAUGAAAAAUGCAAGUGAGUUGAAUGCUUGUAAUAGCUUAGUUGUUUAUGUUUUUUAUACUUCCUUAUGCAAUCUGUUGUUGAAUACUGUUCCUUGUUGGAAUCUCUUGUAUUGUAUUGAUUGUGACGCCUAGGACGUACAGGGAAAUCUCUGUCCAUUCGACGGCCUGUCGGUGCGCCCGAACUCC